CUGGUUAGUGGCUCAGUAGGAAGCACAGGGUUGUAGAUGGGUCAUAGACUGGUGGGAACAUACACUUCUCUGCUAUAAGUUCAUGAUUUAUUUAGCUAAAAACACAGAGCAUGUAAGGUGGCUGUUCAGUAGCAGUAGAUGCAACCUGUUUUUCUGUGGCUUUUCCUUCGCCCUUGGGUUUCCAACUAAGAGCACAGCAAAGUGAACUCAGGGAAUAUUUACCUCCAUUAGACACUCUUGGUUGUUGAGCCAAACUCAGCAUUAUCAAGAAUUCCUCCUCACCUAGACAAAAUGGGGAAAUGCAAGAGUCAAAAACACAAAUAAUGAAUUUCAGGAGAGUCAAGGCAUUUCUUGCAAGAUACAUGGCGAUGUUCUUCUAUGUCAGAUUAAAAUAGGACCUAAAAAGCACUGGUCUCAGUGAUACCUAUUUAUUUCAUUUUGCUCUGAAAUUUUCAGAAGCUAGAAAAAUACACACAAUUUGCACCUGAUCAAUGCUCUGCGAACUGCCUGCAGGAUUGUGUUCAUAUCCCAGUAAGAUUUAUUGCUAACCAACAUGCCAUGCUAAAUUGAAAUCAAGAUAUUACACAAUUUUCCAAUAAAGAGGUAAUUUUAUAAGUUGGUAUAAAUGCUUUGUGAGGAUGUAAUUGUUGGCAUCUUGUUAUAUUUCAAUAGCUGGUGGAAAAUGAGAUAAGUUGGAAGGUUUACAGAGGGUCAGAGCUCAUUAGAUGAGAAGAUCAUCUUUUUUUUCAGCUCUAGAAAGCACAUUUAUAGGCUGAUAACUAAACUGUUAUUCUUUAACAGUUGGAACAGUCAGUAUUUCCAAAACAUUCCAACUAAGUACAGCUAC